UUUGCCGAGUUCUCUCAAUGAUGAUAACUUUCACAGACCUGUACUGAAAUCCUGUGAUUGCACUUUAUUUAUCUGAGAAGAGACUGACGGGAAUUUCUUUCCUUUUGCGUUAAGAGUGCUCUGGAAGCUUCAAAUGCAAACACGUGUCUUAACUAGAGGUUUUUCUUUUGCAGCCAUGGCGGCUACGACGAGCAUGGCCUCAUGGGAAGUUUCCAUGCAGGAUGCUGGGAUGAGUAGACGGAAAUCUUUUAACUUCAAGGGCUUAUUCACAUGAACUUGGGAGGGCAUGGUGACCAUAGAUGUAUUGAUCACCCUACUCUAUCUGUGGUGGUCAUGGUGUGGCCAUAAUGUUCAAGUGAGGUAGUGUUGGAACAAUGAC